UACGUAGGGGGCAAGCGUUGUCCGGAUUUAUUGGGCGUAAAGAGCUCGUAGGUGGUUCGGUAAGUCGGAUGUGAAAUCUCCAGGCUCAACCUGGAGGGGUCAUUCGAUACUGCCUUGCUCGAGGACUGGAGAGGAGAUUGGAAUUCACGGUGUAGCAGUGAAAUGCGUAGAUAUCGUGAGGAAGACCAGUGGCGAAGGCGGAUCUCUGGACAGUUCCUGACGCUGAGGCACGAAGGCCAGGGGAGCAAACGGG
rnacentral:rRNA from 1 species